rnacentral:rRNA from 1 species
UACGUAGGGUGCGAGCGUUAAUCGGAAUUACUGGGCGUAAAGCGUGCGCAGGCGGUUCGUCGUGUCCGAUGUGAAAGCCCCGGGCUUAACCUGGGAACGGCAUUGGAAACUGGCGGGCUGGAGUGUGGCAGAGGGGGGUGGAAUUCCACGUGUAGCAGUGAAAUGCGUAGAUAUCGGGAGGAACACCAGUGGCGAAGGCGACUUCCUGGCCUGUUCUUGACGCUGAGGCGCGAAAGCUAGGGUAGCAAACGGG